UCUUGAAUCAAUGUCCGUGCAUUGCCCCCCGUGUCAUCCGAUCGGGUUCCCCCUAGUUGGAUGAGUUGAGUGAGUAAAUAAAGUAGAAUCAGUUGAUUCUUUUAGUGCAAUAGAGCUCCUUUUUUGUGACAAAAUAGCAUUUAGGAUAAAUCUAAUAAUCUAUGCAAGUAUAGUAUUAAACUUCUAAUGAAUGAGAAUAUCUCUACUGUAAUAUCAUUUUGUUAAUCCAUUUGCUUAACAUUCUUGUUAGAAGAAAGAAAACUUUGCGGAAACUAAGCUGCAACCUGAUCAUGUUCACUGAUUAGUUUGCCAUAAAGUGCAUUGUUGUGUUUUGGCUGCCAUGUAAUUUGCUAGUCCUUUUGGAGCCGGAGGUCUCAGUUUUUGAGAUUUUCUUUUCAUCCUUAUUGUUGUGUCUUCGCUUCCAUGUAAUUUGCUAGUUCUUUUGGAGCCAAGGUGUCAGUUUUGAUGAGGUUGAGGUGUCAGUUUCGAGAUUUUCUUUAUCUCUCGUGGGUUAAUUUUGGAUGGACUAAGACAGCUAAGUGUAGAAAUCUCUCACUAACACUACCAGCUAACAGUCCUGCUUUUAUCACUAACACUACCAGCUAACUGUCCUGCUUUUAUCACUAACACUACCAACUGCGGCUCUUGCCUCUGUGGGACACUAACAUGGGACACAAGUCUUCCUUUUGUUGGUUUCCUUGGUAAAUUAUGUAAAAUAAUAAAG
rnacentral:lncRNA from 1 species